rnacentral:rRNA from 1 species
GGGGAAUUUUCCGCAAUGGGCGAAAGCCUGACGGAUCAAUACCGCGUGAGGGAGGAAGGUCUGUGGAUUGUAAACCUCUUUUCUCAGGAAGAAGUACUGUUCCCACUUGAGGAAUAAGCCUCGGCUAACUCCGUGCCAGCAGCCGCGGUAAUACGGAGGAGGCAAGCGUUAUCCGGAUUUAUUGGGCGUAAAGCGUCCGUAGGUGGUUUAGUAAGUCUGCUGUUAAAGCGCGGGGCUUAACUCCGUAUCGGCAGUGGAAACUACUAGACUAGAGUGUGGUAGGGGUAGAGGGAAUUCCCAGUGUAGCGGUGAAAUGCGUAGAUAUUGGGAAGAACACCGGUGGCGAAAGCGCUCUGCUGGGCCUGCACUGACACUGAGGGACGAAAGCUAGGGGAGCGAAAGGGAUUAGAUACCCCUGUAGUCCUAGCUGUAAACGAUGGAUACUAGGUGUUGCACGUAUCGACCCGUGCAGUGCCGUAGCUAACGCGUUAAGUAUCCCGCCUGGGGAGUACGCUCGCAAGAGUGAAACUCAAAGGAAUUGACGGGGGCCCGCACAAGCGGUGGAGUAUGUGGUUUAAUUCGAUGCAACGCGAAGAACCUUACCAGGGUUUGGCAUGUCGCGAAUCCCCAUGAAAGAGGGGAGUGCCUUCGGGAGCGCGAACACAAGUGGUGCAUGGCUGUCGUCAGCUCGUGUCGUGAGACGUUGGGCUUAAGUCCCGCAAGCAGCGCAACCCACGUUUUUAGUUGCCAGCAUUCAGUUGGGCACUCUAGAGAGACUGCCGGAGUCAAACUCGACGAAGGCGGGGAUGACGUCAAGUCAGCAUGCCCCUUUCGCCUCUGGCUUAGACACGUACUACAAUGCUUCGGACAAAGGGCAGCGAGCUAGCGAGCGCAAGCCAAUCCCAUAAACCGAGGCAGUUCAGAUUGCAGGCUGCAACUCGCCUGCAUGAAGGCGGAAUCGCUAGUAAUCGCAGGUCAGCAUACUGCGGUGAAUACGUUCCCGGGCCUUGUACACACCGCCCGUCACACCAUGGGAGUUCGCCACGCCCGAAGUCGUUACUCCAACCUUAGGGAGGAGGAUGUCGAAGGUAGGGCUGAUGACUGGGGUGAAGUCGUAACAUGGUAG